rnacentral:lncRNA from 1 species
UCAAUUGGGAUGGGAAACCUUAUGUGUUGUGUGUUGUCUGCUAUUGGUUGGAUGUGUUAUGUGCCGAUAGGAGAGUGAGAAAACUGUUUUGAGCAUAACUUUUGAUCCGUAAGUCGGAAUCAAGUGAAACGAAAGAGAGAUAGAAGCUUAUAAAGUCUAGUUUGAUAUAACAUAAUAAUAUGAUGGAGUCGAGAAUGUGAAUAAUUGUUGUUAAAUGUGCACAAUAUGAUUAUAUGUUAUUUGAUUGCUAUUAAUUGAUGAUUACGUGAUAUACAUGUUUAUUCAUGAUAGUAUACACGUGUGAUAAAAGAUUUGGAUGACAUAGUGUCGUGAGUUGAUUGAUAUUGGAUAAGAAUAUAUGGAUUAUAGUAAUUGGAUCUUGUUGGUUGAUUGUUGAUUGAGAUAGGAUAACAGGUGGAUAGUCUAAUAAAUAGACGAGACGAUGUCGGAUUUUCGAUAGGAUUCAUAUGAUAAGUGAUUGGUAAUAUGUUAUGUGGAAUAUGACUUGACUAUAUGGUAGAGUCAAAGCAUGAUUACGUGUUAAGUGAUAUGUGAUAAGUUUAAAGGGGUAUAUAAGUGGGUAUCGAUAUACGUGAUAUGUAUAUGCGAUAUAUUGUUUAGUGACUAUAGUAUUAUCUUAUUCUCGUAAAGGAUUUGGACGAGACGUGUACGCUCGAAGACGUCAGAAAGUCGGAAUGGUAUUGCAAAGCGAAUAAGGGAUGAAUCGAGUAAGCGAAGCGAAGUGGCGAAUAGAGUAUAGCUAGAGAUGGUCUAGAUAUUAUGAGAUGCAUAGAUUGUGAAAGUGGAAAGAUGAGAAUGAGCUGUGAGACGGGAGUCAGAUUUAAGGCAAGUAUCCUAUACCCAUCUUUUGGAUAUCUUGCAAUUAUUCUGAUCCAUUCUUUUCGUAUGUGUUGCAAAUAUUCGUUCCUCUCUUUUUCAUAUUUGGAAAGUGCAAAUAUUUUUAUCCAUCCUUUUCUAAUCCUCAAAAAUUCAGAUAAUUCCAGUUUUACAAAUUAAUUCGAAGUUCAAAUUGUCAUUGAAGCAUGUGUUGCUCAGUGAUAGUUAGAGCUUUGAAUGAAUUGGGAUCUUCUUGAUUAUUCAACCCGCCAUUGUCAUGCUGGUUUAGCAGGCUAAAUUCAGUUGCUUAGCCGAUAAUGGAGGAUACUGAAUAGUUGAGGAUUUCCUGAACUGUGAUUUAUGAAAUGAUGGA